ACAACUACACUGUUUCCGCGACUGCCGCUGCUUAUUAGCACAGGGACUUCCGGCCACUCCGACUCCGACAGACAUGCACCGACUUGAGCAUAUUGGUUCCGUUACCGAGAGGCAACCUCAUUAUGGCUUCUUCCACUUUCAUUGGCAGAGCUCUUGUCCUCAUUUUGAAUCAUGGCAGCUACAGACUCCAAAGGGCAGAAGCAAGCCGAGGUAUCUUAUUAAGCAAUGAAACACCUGAGGAAUCACAAACACAUGUGACAGCAAUUCUCAAACACAUUAUGGUGCCUUGAAAUAGGGGGACUGUGUAGAAAAAGUGUUGCCAUUUCUACAUGGUGUGACAGAAGUGUAUCCCAAUACCUUGAAAUGAAAGGCUGCAAUGUGCACUUUAA